rnacentral:misc_RNA from 1 species
AAGCUGCGAUACGUAGUGUGAAUUGCAGAAUCCGUGAAUCAUCGAAUUCUUGAACGCAACUGGCGCUUCCCGGCGUGCCGGGAAGCAUGUCUGUUUCAGCGUCAUAAUCUUAAACUCACUCCUCCUAUGGGGGUAGUGGAGAUGAGGGUCACGCUGGCGUGAGCGAGCGGGUCCCUUGAAAGGCAGUGACGCGCGCCGCGGCCUUGGUGGUUCCGCUGGCCUCUGUGGUGGUAGAAAUCGGUUUGCAUUUCCGCAAGCGCAGAGGAGGAGCCUGACCGGGUGGCGGGGUGGCGGCGAAAACCCACGUUCAAUCUAUGACCUGAAAUCAGGCAAGAGGACCCGCUGAACUUAA